UUCCUGCACUGGCGUGACCCCCGGCCGGCGCACCGAGGGCCCGGCGGCGGGGCAGUCUCGGGGGGAGCGCCGCCGCGGAGAGAGCACCGCCGAGCCGGCGGGGGCAGGGGGGCAAGGGAAGCGGAGGGGCCCGGGAACCAGCCCUGCGCCCAGGCUCGGCCCCGCCCGAAGGCCCUUUCCGGCCGCUCGGUGGCGGGGGCCUCCGGCGCGCCGAUUACGGACGUGAAUGGGAAGCGGCAGCUAGUGAAUGAUCGCGUUGCUCGCGCUGCCUUUGGAGGCUGAGGAGCAGGUGCUGCGCUGCAAAACACAAAGUGCUUCAUUUAAAAGCCCUCUGUCACGUACGCACCCUCACGACGUUCAGGAAUCCUCUGGCCCCCUCCCGUCACUACCCUGCGAUGGAGUAGCUGAGGCUGGGAGAGAAGCCGGGAUAUGUCCCUGGGCACAUGGUGAGUCGGUGGGAGCUGAGAUACAGCCCCGUCUCCUGACAGCCUCGCCAUUGGCUAUACCAGGUUGGAACCUGAAGAAGGUUUCACUUUGGUGACAUUAAUUUCUAGGCAUGGAUCCUUUGCACGUGAGCACCCCCCUCUUUUCCUGGAUCAGCUCCACCCCCAUCCCACCGCCCACCCCCAGCCCCACCCCACUCUCACACAGAAAACUUGCUAUGCCAACCGAUUCUCACUGGUGAUAGGCUUAAUAGCUGCAGGCCUGGAAAUUAUGCCCAUUUUCCUGUCUGCUAUGUGUAAGUCCAUCUGAUAUGUCCUCCGUCAGCACAAUCCUGUUAUUAGGAACUCCAGAGAAAGCAAAACCUAGACUUUUCUUCCACCUCAGUAUCUCACAUCACCCAGCACUCACAGUUGGCCAGAUGCUCUAAUGAACAUCAGUCACAACCUAAUCCAGGCCAGAAAAGCAGAGUAAGAAGUCUCGUACCCAUUUUACAAAGUCCCUGUAGAAGUGGCAUAUUUGAAGGGGAAGUGACUAGCUCACAUCCAUCUGCUGGUGCGUGGCCAAGUUGAGAGCCAAACCCAGGACUCGCAACCCCACCCUGGGCUGUGUCCACACCGGGGUGGGUGGUGGGUGGGAGGGGGCAAGGAUCCACUUAGUCAUGGAGAGGGGUGGCUCUAAGUGACCUGGGUAUCUCCAGCCCUGCCGCUCUUUUUCUUUCCCCACAGACCUUGGGCCAUUGUGCCCAUGCCCCCACCCCCAUACUAGUUCACAAUAUGAAACUGGAUAUGAACAGCUGCUGCCUUAGGAGCCAGACGCGUCCAGGCCCUCUCACCACUACUGACUCCAAAUAUCAAGGCCAGUCCCACUCACGUCCUGGACCUAUCCAGAUCCCCUCAACCUUUGCUGCCACUCUGGACUUAACUCUCUCUGUUUCCCCUGUCCCCUCAAGGUCUCCCCCAGGGCAGACGGAAAAAGCAGCAGCAUCAAAUACCAUGCUGAAAAAAUGGAGAGGGAAUAGAUGUGAAGAAUAUUUUAUUUUGCUUCUUGGAAGCAAGGAGUUUGUCGGAGUCUUUACAAGUCCCCACCCAUGCUACCCAACAUACACAAUGUCCAACCCAGUGAGCACAGCAAACAUACCUAAAUGUUAAAGAAUCAUAAAACUCUCACAUGACUGAGGAAAUUUGUAUAUACCUAGGCUGGCCAUUGUGACAUCUAACAACACUGAUGAGCGGUUCAGAACACAGGCUUCACAUGUGCAAGACCAGGCUCUGUCCUGAUUAGUCAUACAAUAAUGACAAGCUGGUUCAUCUUGAGGUCUGUUUUCUCAUCUGUAAAAUGAGUAUGUUUAUACCUUACAGAAGCAGUACUGAACAAUACCAGCGGCCCUGAGCCAGGAAGGGAGGGGAACACUCAUAUGGGAAUGGUUCUCUCCACAUUUACCACCUAGUUUGGAAUCCAGAUUCAGCUAUGGGACUCGGGAGCAAAAGUACCUGAGGAACCCCCAGCAACUGGAGGUCUCAGUGGAGAAGAGAGGGCAGCCUCCCUCCUGCAAGUCACACACCACCUCGCUGCCCCAUGCCAGCCUCUCCUGAUGUCCGAGGUGCUGACUCUGAUGUCCAGGACAUUAUCGUUUUCUUCCGCGUCCUUGGUGCCUAUUACAUUGCCAGGCGCAACAGUUGUUCAAGAUCUGCUGAAUUCAUGUAUGUGUAAAGGAAUAGAUGAAUACAUGAGACAGUGGACUUUGGAACUGAAGACACAUUGAGUACAAGUCUUAAUUGAAAUAACCUGCUCCUUCCUGCCAAGAAUUUGGUCUCUGUCUUCUCCUGGUAGACCACUAAUAUUUACUUCCAUGGAAAGUUUGGUGAGAACAAAAACAGUGUGGAGUCUGAAUGACAAAAGAUUAAAUAAUAGCAUAAGGCCCGAGGCCACUGAGAGAGACUGCUUCAUAAAUGCCACACAGAUGCACCCCCCCCCUCUCCACACACACAUACUUUAGGCCUGACAACAUUACCAACUGGAUAAAAAAACCAGCCACCUGGAAUGAUGGUGUAUCAGUUCCAGCCCACCUGGAGUCAUACUAACGACAAUUUCAAUUUAGUUCUGGGACUUCACCCAAAAGACCAUAGAUUCAAAUUCAGAUACCCAAAAGAGGACCUUUGAUUUCAAUCCAAAGGUAUAUUAGGCACCAACAUGUGCAAAGCAAGCCCUGUGUCAGGCACCAGGGCAUAAGACAGUCAGAUCAGCCUUUGCUUUCAAGUAGUUUACAAUAUUAUGAAAGACAAGAUAGUACCAUGCAAAAAAAUAAAUAAAGGCUGAGUAUAUUAGUUUCCUCCUGCAGCUUCAACGAAUUACCAUAAACUUAGUGGCUUAAAAUGUCACAAAACUAAUAUCAUGGGUCUACCAGCUGCACUCCUUCUGGGCACUCUGGGAGGGAACCUCUUUCCUGACCUUUUCCAUCUCCUAGAGGCCACCUGCCUUCCUCGGCUCCUUGUCCUUCUCGAAAGCCAGCAAGUUAACAGCUUCUCUCCUCCUGGCCCCCUAACUCCCUUUUAUAAGGACGCUUGUGAUUACACUGGGUCCACCUGGAUAAUCCAGCAUAGUUUUCCCACUUCAAGAUUCUUAAUCACAUCUGCAAAGUUCCUCUUACCAGGUAACAUAGUCACAGGUUCUGGGGAUUAGGACACGGGCCUCACUGAGGCCAUUUUUCGGUUGACCACGCGAGGGAACAGCGAGAAGCUCUGGGAGUACAGAAGGAACCGUGGUGACCUCCAGCAGAGGCUUGGGCAUUGCAGAGGCAGCAUUCAGACUGAUUCUGAAGGAGAGAGAGGAUUUUGUAGGACAGGAAGACAGAGGAAAUGGUCACAAAUAAUCUGGUGUGAUUGGAAUAUAAGACACAUGGGAGGAAGCCCUGGGAGAAGAGGCUGAUGCUAUCAUGCAGGCCGAACUGAGGAAGACUGUAAAUGCCACGUGAAACCAUUCAUGUUCUUUAUGCAGAGAAAAACGUGAAAAUUUUUUUAGAAGUAGUUUUUCUGAAAGAUCACUCUAGCAACUGCAUGAAGGAUGUACAAGAGAGGGCAAGCAUGAAGCUAUGGCAGUAGCCAACCCAAUAGAUGACGACCAAAACCAUUGGAAAUGGUGCUGGAAAAGGGGCAGAUGUAGAGGCACUGAAGUAACUUCACCAGGAUUUGAUAACUAAUUACAUAUAGAAGGUGGAAAACCUGGAAGAGACAGAGAUAUAAAUGCAAUCACUUGAAUUGAUUCCCCUGUAUCGACUGUUAAUUAGAUGAACCAUUACCCAAAAUAUCUACAGGAAAAGGAGCAGUUUUGGGGAAAGAAGGAGAUGAGUUCAGUUUAGGACAGGCUGUUGAGUCUAAGGUGCCUGUGGAGUUUCCGGGUAGAAAUGAGAGCAGGUGGAAUUUCAGAACUGGACCGUAUUUGGGAGAUCAGGAUCCUUUGCGUCUGGCUGCCGCUCAUUUGUCUGAUAUAUGAGUCACAGCUAACAUCAGUUUUUUCAAGUGAGUUGCUGAGAAUUCUCAUCACAUGGCAGAAAUUCCAGUCCUGAAUAUUGAAGGAAGUAUGACGAGAAUAAAUGCAGUACACCCCCAGGCUGGUGAUUCUCAGACAUGCCAUUUCCACAUGCUGUGACUGUGGAUGCUGUCUUCAAGGAAAUGAGAACUGUGUCCCCGUCUACCUGUGGGCAAAGCCAGCCUGCUGGGGCUCAUGCCUGUGAGCAUAGGCAGGAAGAGUAAGAAGACAGCCAGCCCUCUAAGAGGUUGAUUGACUCCCCUCCAUAUGCACAUGUCCUGCCUCAGUGACUUAUUACCUCUCCUUCCACUUGGGCUGCUCUUUUCAACUUCCCAUCAAGGUUCAGCUCAAAUACCCCCUCCUCUGGGAAGCCUUCCAUAGUUCACUUUCAAGGAAAUAGCACUCUCUCUUUACCAUGUGUUGUUAUUUUAUGAUUCUCUGCCUUUGUAUCUACUGCUUUUUGUUGUAAUCAUUUGUGCAUUUAAGGCUCUCUUCUUCAGCAAACUCAGAAUUUCUGAGAGUGCAGACACUGCCUGACCUAUUUUUGUGAGCAUGCUAACACCUUACAUAAUGCCUAGCACACUCCAUAAAUGCAGGAUGAAUGUAAAAAAUGGUUGGUUGUGCACUCCGACCAUUAAUGCCCUCUUGAGUGAUAGACUUUGAGUAAGCUUCUUGUGGGCAGGGAUUAAUUUUACCUAACUCCCAAAGUAACUCCCAUGGAUACCUUUUAAGUGACAGGAACAUAGGCAGUCCUUGGUGAACUGAGCAGUGUUGAUGGCUUGUGGCUCACAGCAGAGAGGCUUCAGAUAAUGAGGCCUGGAAUAUGCUUCUGUUGAUCCAAGAUGCCACGGGAGCAUAAGGACAGCUCGGCCUUGACCAGGCGGUGGGAGAGGUAUGGCAUCUAAGAUCCUGGAGAGGAGAGGAUCUGAGCCAGAAGCAGGUAGAUUUUGAUUAACUGGGCAGAUAUGGAUUCAGAAUUCCAGAGGAAAUCCAGCGCAGGUCUCUGAGUACAGCAAAGGAAGUCUAGUCCUGGGUGCUUAGCCUAGGUCGGUUUCUGAUUAGCUCUGUGACCUUGUACAGAUUUUGCCUUGACUACCUCUGUCUCUUCAUUCACAUUGCUACUCAAGUAUCACCUUUUUACAGCGUCUUCACUGACCGUCCAAGCUUCACCCCCACCACGAACACCUUAUUUUUGCUUUGCGGUAGCACCCGAAGAACACCUGAAAUUAGUCCUGCAUUUGUUUAGUGCUCACUUCUGGUUUCCCUCCUGGAGUGCAAGCAGAUUCAGGGAGGGAACUCUGCCUGUCUGGCUCAUGUCAGUAGCCCCAUAUUUUGUGUUGGCCAUAGUCUAGGUACUCAGUAUUUGUUGAGUGACUAUCUAUAAGAGAGAGAAAGGUUGUGGAGUGCGAAGAGAUGAUUUCUAAGAAAAUUCUGUCUGUCCUAACUGUAUAAUUGCACAUUUCAUUCUGUAUACUUCUAAUACCCUUGGAAAUUCUGGAAUGAAAUAUAAAUUUAAGUCCCCAUCAUUAUUAUAAUGGCUUCUUCUUUGAUAUAUAGUUGGUGGCCUAAUGUGUUCUCAAUUCUCUUGAAAAUUAGUAUCAGUAACAUCCCUUGUUUUUGUUGAGAACUGUUACAUAAAAUGCAGUUUCCCACUUCAUCCCACAACCACCUAUGGGAAAAUAUUGUUAUCUUAUUUUACACCUGAGAGAAUUCAAAGCUCUCAGAAGGGUAAAAUGAUGUGCCCAGGGUCACAGAGCUUGGCUGUGGCAAAGGCUGCAGGUCUCUUGAUCCCAGACCUGUGCUUUCCCAAAGACUUCACUGCAUCUUAGCCCCCAAAACGGUGAAGCUCCGAACUGUAUGAGACAUAGUGUUUAUACGAUAAGGUCUCCAGGCUACAGUGCUGGCAUAAGCAGGCCGCUCCAUUUAAUUCUUCUGCCUGCCAAUGCAAGAUAAUUCCGCUGUGCCAAAACCCUGGCCUGUGAGGCCCAGGGACUCUGGUCACAAAGGGAGAGGGCAGCACAGUAGAAAGUGAAAGCAUAGCUUCAUAUCACCUACUUUCUGCUUUUUUCAGAGACGGAGAAAUAGAGGCUCACAAAAGGAAGAAACUUCCAGUUCUCCUGAAUCUAGAUCUUUAAAUCAUUGAAUCCUAACUGCUCAGUGUCUCAUGAAGACCCAGGGGCAAUUAAAACUGGAUUUUCUGCUUUAGAAAGAGAUGUGAACAGCCUCAAAACCUUCUAUCAACUGGAUCCACAAACCAGCCCGAGGACUGCUGAGGGACAGCAGGCACCACUGACACCUGAAUCAUCUUCCCCAGCACAAGCCCGCUACCACGUCGAUGAAGGGACACCGAUGAGGACUGGGGCUGGGGAGUGGGAUGUGGGGUCUACACCCCUUAGUCCAGGCUCAGCAGUCAGAUAUGUCAGUACCUGGGCUGAGGUAGGGCAGAAACGUAGAUGUUCACACAGCAAAGCCGAAUACCAUCGUCUUUGUAACAAAGGCACUUUUGCUGUAUUGAGAGCAUCCGAGGUAGAACUGCUUAAUGCCUGUCAGAGUUUCCUUUAUAACAUUCUAUCUGUUUGCAUCUCUCACUGAAUGCAGCCCACUGUGCUUCUCAUGGAAGGCCCUAUGCUGCAUCUUUUUAUCUUAUAGCACAUCCUGCAGACUAACUCAAUGGUUUUGAUGCCAUGAAUUUUAUCCAAAGAAUAGUUGGUGAAAAAUCAUAGGCCAGUGGAAAGGAGGGUUAAUGGAACAAAGCCUGACUUAGCCCCUCAGAGCACAGUCCUAGUGGGGAUAUGGAGGCUCUCUACUAUUUUCUCUACUCCUUAAUUUUUUUCAUUUAGUAGGAUUGGGGCUAGGAUCUGGGGCUACCUAGAUAAGACCCAGGUGUUGGCCUUAAGGUGCAUACAUGUUCCCACUGCACUAGAUACAUGGAAAGAGGAAUCAUCUAGCAUCUAGCAUGAUACAUGCUGUGCAGUGCUGGCCACUGGGUUGUCUGGGGACAAAUACUUAGGAUCCAGGUAUCAGAAGAGCACACGUCAAUGCCAGAAAGAUCUACAAUAGAGAAAUACCAAAACAGGAAGUUGGAUAUCAUCUGGACAAACCAGAGCCAGGUAAUGGAGUGUGGAAGCAGAUGGCUAAGUAGGACCAGACAUUAGUCAAGAUAACCAAAUGGUACGCAUUUGGGUGGAAACAGAACCAUACCAGGAGAAAAGAGAGAGGGCAUGAAAGGAUCAGGGCAUCUACAGCACAGGCAGCCCCUGGGAAAGCUGGACUGACACAGCCAGUAAGCACAAGGUGCAGCUCAGACCUGCCGGCCUGACAGACUUGGCAGGCACUGUGCUGCUGGGGAUUUGAGAUCCCAUUUUACAAUGUCCUGAUUUGGGGGGGACCACUAAGUAACUGGAUCAAGGUCUUAUCAAUAAAGAUUUAGGGCUAUAAAUAGGGUCCCAGAUGCCACAGAUGCUCCCCGUUCUCUGCGGACUCCCAGCUCUGCAGAAGACCAGGCACAGAGCGCUCCACUCAGAGCUACGGAUGUGGUGGGGAAGUGGAAACCAAGCCGACAUUUGGUGUGUUGUAGCAUUCCCAGCUCUGGUUUAACACAAGCGAUGUGUCUCACUCACAAGCUGGCACUGAGAUCUCAUUUACAUUUAAAUAAGAGGCUUGUUAGUGCCAGCAGGAGGGCGCUGUCAAUGCCAAGCCUGGCUCAGGAUUCCUGCCAAGGAGUUUCUAAGAGCAUCGCUCUAGGAAACUCCCCCAGAAGAGAAGCAAGCAUGCCUUCUCAUUAAGACAACUCCACCACAGUGGCAUUUGCCUCGGAGCAGUAAGCCUUUGGCUGGGGCUGGAAGCAAGUUGUCGAGUCUUAGAAAGUCAUUUGGUGCCAAGACAGUCAUUUAGUUCAGUUUGGUUCAAAACACACUCAGAGACCACCUGGCACAUGUAAGGAGGCCUGGUCAAGAGGGCGGCAGGCUCAUUCCUGACCUCUGGCCCCUCCAUCAUGUAGGAAGGACAUGCAGAAGACCAUCUCACAACAUAAAGAAAGGGAGGGCCUACUCUAUUGUUGGGCAACUCUUAAUAUUGGUAAGUUCUUCAGGCAUUAACAGGAAACGUGUGUGUCUGCUGUGAGGAUGGUGUGCUAGCGACAGAUGACAAGCAGAGAACAUUGAGGAAUAGGUGGGCUGUUUAUGAAACCUCAGCAGUGAUUGGCAUUCUGAUAACCUGGAGUGUGCCCGUCCAGUCUAAAGGAGAAUGCACGACCCAGCAAAGAAGUGAUCCUGGAUGUUAUAAACAUGGGUCUUGUCCUAUGUAGCUUCAAAGCUGAUGGGAUAGUCAGAUAACUAGCCAAGAAUUGCAACAUGGUUCAUAGGCUCUAUCACAGGGAAGUAGAAGUUGCUGUAGAAACACAUGGAGUGAUGGGGUACGUAACAGAAUUUAACAAAAGUUUUGAUGUUUAAGUUCAACAUGAAGGAUGAGCACAAGUGACAUAGGCAAGGAUGAGAGGGGAGAAAGGCAAGAACAGGAGCAAAGGCUCUGAGACAAGAUAGAGAGCAAAGUACAUUUGAAACUUUAAAGAAAUUUUCUAUGAUGGAAACUUAAUGUCCAGGGUAGGGAAAGGAUAGAGAGGAAAGUGGGAACUACAUUAUAAAUAUUUUCAGUCCAAACCACUGAAAGGGUUUAGAUUUUAAUGUAAGAGAAUUGAGCUUAAGUGGAGGAGUAAAAGAAUCAGGCUGAGUCUUCUAAAGUUUAAAUACCUCCAGUUCUGAUAAAAGAGGCAGCAUGGUAGACAGAGAGGAGCUCAGGACUUGAAGUCAGAAGGCGGUGGGCCCUGGUCACAGCUCCACCACUGUGUCAUUUAUCUCACCUGCCCUCAUCCUCAGCCUCUUUCCAUCUAGUCUCUUCUUUGUUAAAUGGGAAGAGCAUAUACCAGUGUUAGUAAAAUAAUGGGAGAAAAAGAACUGUCAUACUCUGUUGGUGGUAUGGUAAAAUAGUAAAUUCUUAUUAAAACCUAAUCAGGACUACUUGGCAAUAAAUGCCAGAAACCUUAAGAAUGUGAAUUCUUUCGGACCUACAAUUCCAUUUCUAAUAUUUAGCUUAAAGAAAAAAUUAAGUAUUUUCUGCCAACAUUUAACCACAGUGGUAUUCAAGGUAGUAUUGCUUAUAAGAGCCCCCAAAAAGUAUAAUUUAAGUCUCUGAUGAUGGAUAUUCCAUAAGCCUUUUAUCCUGUUGAGGUCAUUUUGGCCAUAACAGUUAAACCAGAUUGGCUCAGACACUCAUCCUGUAUGCAGGGAAGACCCUAUAACCCCAAUCCUAAUACAUCUGGUGAUUCUUAUUCUCCUCAUUGCCUCUGCCUCCAAAAUCUGUUGAAUUCUCCAUCUCCACUCUAUAUUUUGACCUUCCCCAGCUGUCCUUUUUCUGCAAUGCACCACUCUGCAUGGUACAGUCUACCCCAAAUACCCUUCCCUCCUCCACGUUUCUUGGCCACAGAUAGCAUGUGGUGAGAUUUUAUUAAGGGCUUGACAGUGAAGGGGCUGACAUCCAGCAGGAAACUACCUUUCUCAGCACAGUCCCUGCCCCUGUCUUCAGCGUCUUUCCAUCUAGUCUCUCCUUUGUUUUCCAGGGCCCCUCAUUCUCAGCCUCCUUGGCUACCCACCCCUAGGGUACUUUCCUUCCCUUAUGUUUUUCAAAUUCAGCUGCCUCUCUACUUCUCAGUUCCUGUGCCACCCUGACCAGAUGCUCAUGAACAGAUCUUACUCAGGAGCUUACCCAUGAACAGCACAGAAGAGUCUCACAUUUCUUUCCUUCUCUUGCUCCCCUGUGGUCUCCAUAAGUGGAAGGAUGCAGCAUAAGGAUUUAUUUCCCCAUUCAUAUGCAUCAUACCACCCUCUUCCCAUUUUAGAAGGCAAAAGAGGCACAGUAAUUUUGCUUUGGUUUUAAUACACUUACUGCCCUUAGGAAUAAUCUCAGUGUCCCCAGAUCAGGAAUGAAAUAAACUAUGGCAGUGGAACCCAGUGGAGAGGUUAAGGUGAUGCUGCAGAACAGGUUUCAACACGGGAGAAUUCAGGAUCCACGGUUAAGUGGAAAAUGAAAAUACAUAACAAUAUAUAUAUACUACCAGUUCAUUAAAAUAUGUCUGUUUACCUGUAUGUUUGCAGGAAAAAAAGAUGGGAAAAUGGCACCGGUUAUAUCUAGCGCAGCUGUUCUCAGGGGGAGGGAUUUUGCCACUAGGGGGCAUGUGACAAUGUCUGGUAACAUUUUUGAUUGUUUAGUGGGGUUGCAAAGUCUUCCAGUGGGUAGAAGCCAGGGAUGCCGCUCAACAUGCUGCAGAGCCCAGGAGAGCCCUCACAACAAAGUGUUAUCCAGUGCAAAAUGUCUGUGGUGCAGAGGCUGAGAAACCUUCCUCUACAUCAUAAGCGUAUGGAGUACUAAAACUCUUUUUUUUUUUUUGCUUGUUUGUAUUUUCUGUUUUCUACAAUGAGCAUAUAGUUCAUGUGUUGUUGUUGUUGCUGUUGUUUUUGAAGAUAUUAAGUGAAUGCUUCUGAAAAACAUCUGGGUCAAAUGCCUGUAUUUUUCCUAUGAGAUAACUUCUGUGAAAGCACUUAGUCUGGUGCCUCAGGUCUCCUCACCACUGCGGUGACUUUCCGUAAACCCACACCUUUAAAUUGAGACCAAGGGGCUGGAGACCUGAUACUGCAGAAGUAGCAGAUGACUCUGUGCCCAGCUGUGCUCUGGUUAUUCUCCCUAUGACGGCCCCAGCCUCUGGACAGAGUCAUCCCACAGCCCACCCAAGGAACUUGCUGUCCACUGAAACUGUCACCGAUAUGGUGCCAAGGCAAAUUGUCAGAACCAGAGGUGGUGCAGGGAGCCUGUCCACACCGCAGGCAGGACGCCUGUGCGCACCCGGAGUUGCUGACUGCUCAUCUUCCCAUCGUGGCCAUGUCUUGGAACGUGGUUGCCUUGGAGAACCUUUGCAAAGGAACAGUUCUUGUGGUAAUCAAAGUGUGUUCAAUUGGAAGUUUAAUUAUUUGAAGAAGUAGUUUAUUGCCCCACAGACUCCUCUGCUGUGAACACUGGACCUAAUUUUAGUAGCUGGAAUAGUGAUGAUUUAGCAGAGUCUCUGCAUUUGAUGGCUGUGGUUUCUGGGCCACCAACUGCAGUUGAAAAGAAAAAGGCAAUCCUAUCUGCCAUGCAGUGAGUCCUUCUUCCUCGUUUCCAGGGAGCUGAAAUGACUUGUAGGGGCUGGCUUUCCAUUUAGCCCUAAAACUAGUGGAAACUCAGGCAUUACAGAAAUGACACCCUGGAAAGAAACCACCUAAAUCAUUGACAAUGGAUCUCAGAGAGGGGAGAUUUUCCCCUUUGGCCAGGGAUAGCGGGCUUUCUCAGGAAUGUAGCAUGGGACAGUCCAUCCCUUCUGCCACCGGACUGGCUGGGGGAGAAGGGAAGCUGAGGCUGCUGACUGUCCAGAACCAAGUCUAAAGGUGAAGACUAAUAGGGACCAGAGCCAGAAGGAGUUGGGUGAGGCAGGAGGUGACGUUUUCCAAGAUUCUGGAAGGAGAGAAGGAGUAGAGGAAAUAUGGGGACUCCAUUUGGUCUGGAAGGCUUGGAUUAGACAGUCAGAGGAAAAAGACUUCUCCAAUCUUCCAAAGGUACAUAUAAUGGGUGUCCUUCCUCUGUUUUCUCUUUGGAGAC